rnacentral:lncRNA from 1 species
GUGUCUAUAAAGCCGAGCACGCCAACCCCAAGCGGCUCCUUCAACCCCUGAGAUCUUAAACAAAAUCUCUGGCUUUUCUUCUGACCUGGGAAGGAGGAACUCCGGCUGCGGUGGCCGUGUGCUGUGAACAGAAAGAACCCGGUGACAAGGGGGUAGGGGGGAGGCAGCUGAUGCUGUGGUUCUGGGAACAAACUGGCCUCUUCAGCCUGGGCUCAUGUUAGAAUUUUGUUCCCCCUGGCUUGUUGGAAGGAGCAGAUGGCCCAGCAUGGGACUAAUGUGAUCCAUAAUGCAAGGAAUGAGGAAACAUGUAGCUCAGGCUAGCCUGUAACUCACUAUGUAGUAACUCCUGAUCCUUCUGCCUCCUCGUGCCAAGUGCUGGUACACCAGGCAUGUGCUGCCACCCAGCGAGGCCAGCAGUCUACCAACUGAGCUAACUGCCAGCUGCCGCCCUUCCAAGCCCAAGCCCGGAAGAUGUGAGUAGCUCGGGGUGAGAUUUCUGACCCACAACACCUCCCAUCCCAGCACUGGAGACUGAAGCAUGGAUUCUGAGGCCAGCCUGGGCUACCAAAGAAGACUGUGUUUUAAAAAGAAAAAGAAAAAAAGAAAAUUAAAAUGGACGAACCCUCAAGUGCUUAGAGAGUGGCAGGGGGCCUACUGGGCUCUGCCCACUGCUACAAUGCUUCCUCUUUGAGGUCACUAGGCUACUACCCAGUCGUUGAAGAGGAGUAUAGCUCUGACACCAUGCCAGCGGUUUAAACUGGAUACAGGAGAACUCGCAUGUAAGAUCCACUUCCAGAAGGUCCCAAGAGCACAGAGAUGGGGUGGGAAGUGAAUGGGGACCUCGAACCCUUGUCCCCAUCCAGGGGUGGGAGGGGAUUAGUGUAGGACGGGAGCAGGGCAUCUUAGUGCAUUAUGGAAAGCUCUGAAGUGGGGGAGUCCAGUGACUGCUCUGCUGUCCACAGCCAUGGGCUAGGACAGAUAAGGUGGGGACAGGCCAGUGAGAGAAACAAGGGAGACCAGCACACAAGGGCCUCAUACCUGGUUCCUCCAGGCCUGGCAGUCCUGUGGUUGUAUCUGUGUGUGGCCAAGCCAGUGAGACUUAGGGAUAACCUGAGACCCUGGGCAUGGCUGGCAUUGUUUACAUGAAUGUGAAUUCUGGGGGUCGCCCUGUUUGUGCUCUGAGCUGAGUAAGGCUCUCAAUAUAAACGAGGGAGAGAGGGCCCAGCAAGAUGGCUCAGCAGGUAAAGGUGCUUGCAGCCAGGUCUUGAUGACCCAAGUUCAAUUCCCAUUUGAUGGAAAGAGAACUGACUCCACUCAAGUGAUCUCCACAUGUGUAUGGAUGCAUUCACAACAGAUAAAUAAUAGCUAAUAAUAGCUAAUAAAGUCUUGUUUUCUUUUUUCUUUCUUUCUUUCUUUCUUUCUUUCUUUCUUUCUUUCUUUCUUUCUUUCUUUCUAUCUCUCUCCCCUCUCUCUCUGUCUCUCUCUCUCUCUUUUUGGUUUUUCGAGACAGGGUUUCUCUGUGUAGCCCUGGCUGUCCUGGAACUCAUUCUGUAGACCAGGCUGGCCUUGAACUCAGAAAUCCGACUGCCUCUGACCCCCAAAUGCUGUGAUUAAAGGCGUGUGCCACCACUGCCCAGCUCUUUUUCUCAUUAUUAACUACCCACCAUUAAAAGUGCUGAAGAUUGAGUUCAUGGACCAACUACAUGUCAGAAAAUGUUUCUACAAGCAAUCCACACUCCCAUGAUGAAUACAAGGUUGCCGGAGUCCUGUAGCUUGAUAUGGAAAUUAGGGGUCUGGUUUUGCAUAUGUAGCAUCAAGGACUAGAAAGACUGGGAUCUGAACACAGGGCUGACUCUAGAGACCUCGUCUGAGAGUCAGGUCUUUGCGUAUGUAUGGGGGUGCAUAUGCACCCCUGCCUACUAAGAGGUCAUAGGACCACUUGUGUGUGAGUCAUGUUUCCUUCCACCACACGGGUCGUAGAGAUCCAGUUCAGGUUGUCAGGCUGGGGAGCAAACCCCGAGCUUGCUGGUGCAGGCAGGCCGGUUGGCCUGUGAAUCCCAAGGUCUGGUCUCUAUCUCCCUAGGUUUUUACAGAUUGGCCCAGCUUUGCCAGGCAGGUCACACGGGUGCCAGGGAUCCGAACUCAGGUCUUCACACUUGUCUGCCAGCACUACCCACCCCUGUCACCUGUGCCUAUGUCCAAAGGUGGAGUUGAGUCUAUGAGUCUCCAGAUCCGUGGCCCUGUCAGGAGACUACACACACUCACCUCUCCCUCUUGGCUCGGAGUCUCUGCUCUUCAUAUCUGAGAGAGAGAGAGGCAGGUUCAGUGAGUGGGAAGGGUGGGACCCUGCCCCAAGCUGUCAGGGCCACAGAGGCCAGGCAAAGGGGACUGGGGAUACAGAUGGGGACUGAACUUCAGAGUGGGGUUGGCUGAACUGAGUAUUGAGAUGAGGUUUCAGUGGUCAGUUUUCUGUAAUAUGUAACUUUUAACUUGAUUUAUUUAAGGUUUAUUUAACUAUAUUAAAUUGAGUGUGCUUAGAGUGCAGUUCCCACAGUGGCCAGAAGGGGCAUCAGGUGCCCAGGAGCUGGAGUUCCAGGUGUUGUGAGCCACUGUGUGGGUGCUGGGAACCGAACCCCUGUCUUCUGAAGGAGGAGCGGGUGUGAUAACCACUGAGCUGUCAUUCCCUGACAUAGUCACUCCCAAACUCAGGGACGCUAAGGCCGGAGGGGCACUUACUGCAGGACACAGUCUGGCAGCUGCACGUGUUCCAUGGGAAUCAGUCGCUCCAGCUCUUCCAGGCUGUGCACGUACUGAAUUUUACUGAUGAACUUGACACUGAGGGAGACAACAGGGUAGACAAGGGGUCAUCAGACAGAGCCAGACUCUGCCCCACCUAGCCUGCCAAGUUGCCCAUGCUGGCCUCGAACCCACUAUCCUCUUGUCUCAGCUUUCUCCCCAGACUUUUCUCAUGGAUUGUCCCAGUGGCCUUUGUGAACUAUGAUGAACAACAAACAUGUCAGACGUGGUUUUUUAGAAUUUUUUUUUACAUUUAUUCAUGGUGUGUGCAUAAAUAAAAGUCAAGAGAAGAGC